UACGUAGGUGGCAAGCGUUAUCCGGAGUUACUGGGCGUAAAGCGCGUGUAGGUGGAUCGGUAAGUUACUUAUAAAAGCUCCUGGCUAAACUAGGAGAGGUUGAGUGAUACUGCCAGUCUUGAAUAGAGGAGAGGUUGACGGAAUUCCGCGUGUAGUGGUGAAAUGCGUAGAGAUGCGGAAGAACACCAGUGGCGAAGGCGGUCAACUGGCCUCAUAUUGACACUCAGACGCGAAGGCAUGGGUAGCGAACGGG
rnacentral:rRNA from 1 species